rnacentral:rRNA from 1 species
UUACUCCUACGGGAGGCAGCAGUAAGGAAUCUUCCACAAUGGACGCAAGUCUGAUGGAGCAACGCCGCGUGAGUGAAGAAGGUUUUCGGAUCGUAAAGCUCUGUUGUUGGUGAAGAAGGACAAGGGUAGUAACUGAUUCUUGUUUGACGGUAAUCAACCAGAAAGUCACGGCUAACUACGUGCCAGCAGCCGCGGUAAUA